rnacentral:lncRNA from 1 species
AUCAUAUGUAAGCAAGGGAGUUCCUGUCGCCAGCAGAAUGCGGCCGUCCCCUAGUUGGUGUAGGUGGCCGUUGUAUGUUAAGUUCCUGCAGAUGAUUACAAUUUCACCACCGUUGUGAGUUAACUUAUCCUAAUCAGUAAUUCCACAAGACAAGAACAACAUGAGUUAUGAUGGUUUAUGAACUUCCAUAAUAGGGAUGAAUGAGUAUGGAAAAUAAUCAUUCAAAGCACCACUAUCCAUUUAAAGCAUGAUGUUGGUAAAAAAAAACAAGAUCAAUUUGAUCAAUGCUUCGACUCACUAAAGAAAUUAAAAGAGUACAAGAAUAUUCAUUCUGACCUGCAUCCAUGUGGCAUCCAUGGCACGCUCAGGGGAUGACUCAGGAGAAUUAACAGGUGGUGGAAGUGGAUGAAUUAACUUCGGGACAAUAACUAGUCCCCUUCCCACCACAAGUAUGGCGCCGGCAUUAUUUGCAGUGCCUGGUUCAUGCACGAUCUUAGCGAAUAUUAUGUUGCAUAGGUGAUGAAAUGAGUUGGAAGAUACAUACCACAAUAAUUAGUGGCUGAAAAUAAAGUGAUCAACUGCCCAUGGGCGAAACGCUCAAAUCCAUCCAUAACACACUCAUGAGCUCUUAUGAUCAAUUGCAAUUUGUUUCGUUUACAGAAUUCUGCCACUCGAUCAGGCUGCAAGUUGACAGGAAAUAAGUUCAAUCAACAUGGUCCAUAAUAAGCUCACGAUAAGACUAAUUGCUGGAAAUGAAGAAACAAUAAUAAGAUAAAAUGGUCAAUAUUUUUUCUAGAAUAAUUGACACUUGAUAAACUAGAAAGCUAUGAUAUGAAGCAUCCUACAGCAACUGAAUCAUCACACAAUCAUACCCCAAAUGUUACCAAGCCAGGUCCUCGUGCAUUUGGCCUCAAACCCUCUACACUAUCGUUCUCUGUAGGAUCAGACCUGUAAUUAUACAAGUAGAAAGUAUUCAUUAAUUAUCAUAUGUAAUGAUGUAAGAAAUGAUACCAAAAAUAGAAAUAGCAUGGCCACCAAGUACUACCAUAAAAGAUCCAUGAGGACAAUAGAUCCAACAUCCAUUGUGAUAGGCCUUUCAAUUUUUUCAAUUUGCUCCACACUGUUUAUUGACCUCCCGAUGCCACCAUGCAUACAUAUUAUUUUCUUUUCUAUCAUAGCAGCCAGAGGGAGAUAAUUAAAUAGUUGAUUGAAUCUAGUCCAGGCCCAUAUACCAUCACUUUCACCCUACAUAAAGGAAUUAUUAAGUCAACCAACGUGUCAAAUACUUCAAUCCCCAAGGAUAGAUGAAGCACUAUCAUAACUACCAUUCUCUCAAUGCAUUCAAGACGGAAGCCGAAAAGAGCAUUGAUGUCAGCAGCCUCAUGAUUUCCUCUAAUCAAGUGAACAUGUUCAGGGUACUCUAUCUGCAAAAUUUGUUUCCAAUGAUUCAGAACUAUAGUUUAGACGAAACAGUGUUCUAACAGCAGCAAACAUGUUUCACGUAUGAAAAAUCACUACUCACUUUAAGAGCAAGAAGUAAUGUUAUUGUUUCCAAGCUGUGCUGACCUCGGUCGACAUAGUCUCCCAAGAAGAGAUAAUCAAUAUAUCUGAAAAUAUGAAAGCAAGCGCAAUAACACAUCACAUAAGGAAAACAAACAUAAUUUCAAAAUUUGUAUUGGAAUAUGAAGAUUGAGUGUACAGAAAAAAGAUUGUUGACACUAGUUUCAGUUGUUCAAAAGGUACAUACAAGGUUCAGAACCAACUUACGUUAUGUCACCAGCAGUGGAAGGAUAACCAUAUUCAUCGAAAAGGCGCAUUAGGUCCCCAAACUGCCCAUGCAGAUCACCAAAUACUUUAACAGGUGCUUUUAGUUGUAAGACAGUUGGUUCCUGCAUAAAAAUCUGCUCAGCAGCAUAGCAUAGCUCGCCAACUUCAUAAGAGUCCAGGAAAAAGGUCCUAUCAGCUGGAGCAUUCCAAUUCCUUGGCCUCAGUAAGAGUGAAAUGACCUGCAACAAAAUUGUAAGAAAAAUAGCUCCUUCCACAAACUCAGAGGAUUUAAAGAUGGGACCAUACCUUCUUAUGCAAACCUUGUGGGGACCUUUGUCUAUUUAGUGCUUUCUUCGAUGAAUAUGAUUGAUCAUUGUUCCCGGGAUGCAUUCUUCUACUUUCAUUCUCAAACUGAUCAAGUGAAAGCUGCCGGACCAAACAUCCUAAAUCUCCUACUGCUUCUUUAGCAACUACAACCUUCAAGGUGGAAGAUCAACAAUUCAGAUCAUUAAACUGCAGUAACUUCACCGAAAUUGACAACACAAACAACCUAAAUGAAGUAGCUACAUUCACACCCAAAAAAAUCACAGAUGAAUCUUUAGGUAAAACAGACAACUCAUUCAAGACAUUUCUACAGCCUACAAAAGCCCCACAAGCAUUGAAGCAUACAAAAUUAGCAGAGUACAUUAGCAGAGGGAACAGAACCUUAGACUAUAGAGGAUAUAUUACCACCGUAGGUUGAAUUAACUUCUCUUGAAGUAAAUAGCUACACUAAUUGAAACAAAUUCAACUAUAUUACCCACACACUCUAGGAAAAUUGUGUAUGUAGAAUCAUAUACUUCACAGCAAUCUGAGAAUUGUGUUUGGAUGCUUCAAAAGUGAAAUGGUAUAUAAAGGACUCCUUUUCAACCCAAUUAACUUUGUACGGAUCUUUUGUCCAUAUUCAAUUAAGAAAACAAAUGGGAAGAAAUUUCAUAAAAAUACAUACUGCUCUAGAAUGCAACUUAUUCAAAUAAGAAAACAAAUGGGAAGAAAUUUCGUAAAAAUACAUACUGCUCUAGAAUGCAACUUCACAUCUGGUUCCAUGGAGCCCCCAUCAUCUAAAUCAUCAGCCAUUGGUGAAGUUUCACUGAGAGGGGACUCGGAUCCUAUUCCAUCUGAAAGACUGUCUUCUGAAGAUGCAUGAGAUGCUUCCUUUGCAGCUCGCCAUACAGCACUAACAGCUUCAGCUUCGGCAGCUGAGGCCUCUGUCAGCAUGUCAAUUGACUUCUUGUCCGUGCUGAAAUUCGUAGGAGAAAUAUUUAGCUUUCACCAUACACAAAUGAUGUACAAAGUCUACAGAAGAUGAGUAUGAAACCUGAAACCAGGAGCUGUAUCAUGACUGUUAUUUGUAUAUUGCUCGAAGGGCGUUGAGUCAGAAUUAAAAUUAUUGUUUCUAUUUUGAUUUUCUGACCUUGGGACCCUAUCAGUUUCUGAUUGGAAGGGUGCAUUCUCAGCAAUGAGAAAAUCAUCGAGGAGGAUAUCUGUUCAGGAAAAAAAAACAUGUAUAAGAUUUCAGCUUCACAUAUUUGGUGAUAUAUCUUUCAUCAUGCAAAAGAUGCACCCAAAAUAAUUCAAUCCCGGAGUCAAAGGUAACAAUACAAACCAAUAGAAUUAAGGACCAAGACAUGUGCUUAUCUCUGCUCAACCAUUUUAAGCUCUCAAAUAUUGCCUAAGACUACGAUUUUGGUACAAUCAUGCUGCAGUUAUCCAGGUAAAAGGUUGCAACUACUGUAAUUAUCUGAUAUUAUGAGUAUGAUCAUCUGACUGCGUAUGAACAGACUGUCUACACUACACAUAUCGUGCCAAAAUCCACUCCAUUGAGAAAUAAACAUUAAUGUCAUAAUGCCAUCUAGUGACAGCAAAACGAAAUACAGCUCCGAUGACAAUGAUCAUGCAUUUCCUCAAAAGGAAAAUAGCAAUGAUCGUGUGCUUUCACAAAAGAAAUAUAACAAUGACCAUGUGUUUCCUCAAAAGAAAAACAACAGUGACAUGCUGUAAUAGGAAAUAGUUUCCUCGAUUUUCAGACGAACCAAUACAAAAAGUGGCAAGAAGCACCAAAGUGAUAUUCCUAUUACUUACCUCCCCUCAGUCCACCAUAAAUAUAUAUCUGAGAACCAACAGAAGCAGCUGCAUGGCGGCAACGACGAAGUAGAUCCGAAGAAGCAUCAUGUUCAUUGGAAGAUUUUAGAGUGCGAGAGGUCACAAUGCCAUUUCUAUCCAGCCAAACUCCAGCAGCAGUGUCCAGAACUUCAGAAAGUGUUCGCCCAGUGAGUCUAGGAGAGUAAACAUAUGUAUUUGAAUGUAAUGGAAGUAUUGAGAGUGUGCACUAACCUGCAAUGGCACCCUCCCCUUCAAUAGCUCUCCCUCCUCUAAGGACACCUCCAGUAACGUGCAGCCGAGCACCAACAAAGACCUAAAAACUUAAGACAAUCAGGAGAAGCAAGGGAAGCUAAUAUUUGAACAUAAGUUCACAAAUCAAAUCAAUAUGGUAACAUUUGCAAGAAACAAGCAAUUGUGACAUUGACUAUCCAUGCCAUCUGAACAAUGAUUCUUCAUGAACAUCACAAUACAUUCAGCUGUCACACUUCUAUUUAACUUACAGCUGCAUGCUGAUAUCUUGGAGAUGGAGAUAUCCCGGGAGCCAGAGUCCACUCCCACUGACCAUUUGUAUGCAUAAGUAGUCCAUAAGCAUCAGAGAGCGGCUGUAAAUGCAUUACAAUUAUCAUCAAAUGAAUCUCAAUGUACAACAAAUUAACAGCAUAAAUAAGAAUAUAUUAGAACCUCCAGUUAGACCAGCAUCCAAUGGUCCCAAUUCCAAACAAAUCAAAAUUAAGAAUGAUCAAACAGUUCAUUUUACAGUGUCAUGUGCUGCAGAACACGCUAUAUAUGGCUAUAGUAUAUCCAAGCCCACAACAUGGUACCAUGCAGGGAGGGGGGGGGGUACCUGCAUGAUUGUCAUUUUUGCAUAACAAUCAUUGACCGAUGUGAUUUAGCAGUCAAACUUAUUUACCAUGAUAUUCCUCUAAUUUUAGUCUUCUAAUUUUUUGUGACAUUACUAAACUAAUUCUUUACAAAUGAUUCUACAUCUAACAUUCAAACGAGAUUACUCCCUCCAGUCUUUAAGAGCUUGAUAUUUUGACCAAGGGCCUUCUUAAACUAACUGUAGAGGCUUGACUAUAUACAUAAUUUUAAAAAAUCAUUGAACUCUUGGGGAUCAUAUGUGCUGAUUGCGAUUUUUCCUGAGAAGUACAUUAUAAACAAUAAUUUCAUUAUGUAUAACAAACAUAUUAUAUAAACAAUAAUUUCAUUAUGUAUAACAAACAUAUUAUAACAAAUAAUGGAUAAAGUUACAGUUCGAAGACCGUGUCGAUGUCCAAAAUGUUAAGUUUUCAGAGGCUGGAGUCGAGGGAGUAUUAUGAAGUGAUUUCACAGCUGCGUAAGUUGUAAAUACGUAGGCCUUCCUAGGGAUAUAAAUUUGCAAACUAAUGAAAUGGCAGUUUUAAAAAUUAUCUAUAGGUAUUAUAUCAAGCUUUACCGGUGACCUUCUUAUUAAAAUAUAUACAUAUGAUGCCUCGUAUUCAGGCUGCAAGUGGGAUCAUCUGCGGGCCUCCCACAUAAUGCCGCAUAUGUCCACAUGGUUAAGUGGGAUAAAGUGGGCUUUCCACUUAACACAAACAAGAGUUUGCGGCUGUCGCAUACCCACUUAAAUAAACUCUUCCGUAUUGACGCAUGCUCACAUAAGUUUGAUUUGUUCUGUUCUGAGUUUGCAUCCAUGGCUUCCAGCAAAAUAUCACCAGCAGAUUGCAUCCUUGGCACAUAUGGCAGCCGCACUGUCCAUGGCGGUUGGCAGCACAGUGCAGGGAGGUCCGGGACGGCGGCGGACGCCAGAUCUAAGGCGGAGGGACCCAUUCAAAGCGGCGAUGGAGCUUGAUGGCGGCGGCGCGGAAGAACUCGUCGCAGAGGAAUGGUGGCGGCGAACGCCAGAUCCGGUCGAAGGGAUUCGUUCAAGUCGGAGAUGGAGCUCGACGGCAAGAACUCGUCGCAGAGGAACAACGGCCACAGCGACGGUGCGGAAGAACUCGUCGCAAAGGAACGGCGGCGAUGACGACAGCGCUAGCCGGCCAAGGAGGAGAUGGACGGCGGCGUGCCCUAUAACAAUUGUUGCAUCCCAAUCGACACAAAGGAACGAGAAAGACGUCAAUUUUUACGGAACGAGAACGAGAAUGUGGGUUAAAUGCGGCGCCCGCGGGACAGCCCACUUAUUCCACAUCUAAAAACAUAAAUUACGUGGGUGUCCACUAACACAUAUUAUGUGGGCUUUUAAGUGGGCACCGUGGACAGUCCGUGUCCACUUGCAGCCUGACCUCGUAUUAAUAUGUCAGAGCUAAACAUUGACAGAUAACAUAAUAACAAACAGACAGGACCCAGGAUGACUAUCAAACAGUAACAAGCGCAGAAGAUUGUACCGUCCCAGAAGCAUCCCUUCCACCACAAAGUAAAAGCAUGCCAUCGGAGCGUGCACUGGCAGUGCCAUACCUAUAGUGAUUUAAAACAAACUGAAAGUAAGACAAUUGCAUAUUUAUACAAAUGGUUGAAUUGCAAUAAAGUCUAGUCCCUAGGAGAUUUGAAGUGACAGUUUAUUUUCACAUGUAAAGCUUGCAGCAAAGGUACUAAAUUCUGUGUAUGCCCUAUUUAUGUAGCGCAACAGCAGCUUUUCUCAAUAAGUAGCAUAAAAUUUGUUUAGAGGGAGAUAAUUACCGGUGUGUUAUGGGCAGAAGGCAGCAUUGUUAUUUUAGUAUACAGGAAAACCCUAAUAAGCCCAUAAGAUAAGAGUACCAGAAUUUACGCAAAACACAGGCUUACAUAUGCAGUUUUAUUUCUUCCUUUUGAGGGACUCGUCCAUUCAGUUAUAAAAUAAGCCAACAGAAAUUCAAAUAUUUGCAAAAUGGAGUAAUACUUAAAGCCGGGAUGCUGUGAAUUACAAUAAUUGUUAUGUGGGAACACGUUCACUUAUAGUCACCACGUCUCCACAGCAGCCACAGUGCCUAGGCUUGGAGGCCAACUCUUCCAAAUACUUCAUUAUGAUAAUUGUUUCCAAAAUUAGCAGGAUAAGUUUUAAAUAGAAGGAUAUCCCUUAGUUUGGUCAGUUAUCUAAUCGUAUAUAAGGAAUUCGAGAGUUCCUAUAAACUAGAGGUGGCUUGUUAGGCACCUCUAUAAAUAGAACUACGUUUGCUUUUUAGAUCAAGAAGAAACAAAUUCGUUAUCUCCUCUAGCCUUCUCUCUAGCUGGCAGACAACGUGCCACCGUGGCACCUAGUCAUCGGCAAGGUUAUCAACCUCACUUCCUGUCCAACACACCUACAACCUAAGAUCCUUAGACUCAGGCCAUAACAACCCCAUAAUACUGGCACCAUCAACUACCAACUGACGUCAGAUUAGAUGGAGAAAGGC